GUAUGGGUUUGUAAAGAGUCACUGGUGAUCCCAGCAGCAUUUAAACGCUUUGGAUAUUAAGACAAUAUUAUAAUAUUAAGAUAGAUACCAUGCUUAGGUGUUACCAGUAUUUCCGUUUCUGUAACAAACUCAACAAACACUGGAUGGAAUGAGUUGUUAGGUAGUCUAAUUAUUUUUCUUUUAUUAGAUUUCAGCUGUCUGGGCCCACAUUACAUGCAGUUUUGUUGCAUCUCCUUUUAGAUGACAUCUACAGUUUGACCAGUUCAACUUGCCUGUUGAAAAGUAACAUUUCAUUUUCUCACCUGAGUAAAGGUUUGGCAAAUUGGGGCUGCAGAGUUUCACAUUGAUGAGGGCGUCACAUUGAUCCCAGUGCAUGCAAGGAGGUGUGCACGUCAGGUGCGCUGUACUACAGGCAAACCAUGGACAACAGACUGAUGCAGUUCUGUGCAGGCCAUAGCCCAUAAUGUGGCCUUCCAGGGUGGAACUCUUCAAUGAAACUCAUUAUCCUCCGAAGCAGAUACUGAUGCAAACGGACUACAAAUCAGACAAAUGGCAGGAUCAUAUAUCCACGCUGGCCACGCGACGCUCGUGCGGUGAUCAAUAAAGUUUCAUCAUAUGUUAACUACACAGCUGUGCCGCUCUUCACCGAGAAUCCAUAAACAAUGGCAUGUGGCGAUAUUUAUUAUUUUAAA